GGGUGGGGGGAAUGGGCGGGCUUGGAUAGCUUAAGAGAUGUUUAACAUGCUUUUCGGUAGAGAUGUUAUGUUAAGGAAUCGGGCAUCGUUCAACAAACAAACAAACAAACAGACGUAACAAGAAAGAAACACAAAACUUUUCGCCGAAUUUUACCCAGGGAUAACCAGUAAUAAGAAAAAGAUUCUGGAUUAUGACAACCUGGAGAAACCAAUGGAAAUUCGGCGGUGUUUUCGUGUAUAACGUGUUCGCAGAAGACUCCAAUAGAUGACCAGAGAAAAUUAAUCUUAGGACAUAGCAGGUCACGAUUAAGAUCGCAAUAGAUUUACGGAUCGCGCCUUUCAUUUUCGAAAAAGGAGGGUACCAAUUUUUGCUAUUUUUCCUCAGUCCGUUGACAAACAGCCUGGGACAUUUUCUCUUCUCCCUUGAAUUGAACUUCUCAAACAUCGCAACGACCGAAUUUUCCAAUUUCAAGCGGCACAGGAUCGUAACAAAGUCAUCCUUGCCCUCUAGUCAAUAAACCCCCUGGACUACGCGAGGGAGAUCAGUGCCGUAUAGGAAAGAUAUCCAAAAAAAACAUUGAAAGAAAGGGGACAGCUUGCAGGACCCACAUACAAAGUCCUUUCGCGCGUUUACGCGGGAAAAAGCGGAGGAAGGUGCAUGUCAUCAAAACUUCUUCCAGUCCUCCGCGAACGUUUUGGAACGCCUUGCAGAGGAUGAUCUCCAUUGGGUAUCUCUGUCAUAGUUAGGUUCAGUGCGCUCCACAUUUAAAACAAAACACGAGCCGGCAAACGAAAUCCUCUUUUGUCUUCAGGCAAGAACUCUACUCCAUAAAUCAACUUCUGUCCCAUAUCGGCAGCCACGCCUGAACAGUUCUGGGGCAGCAUACUCUGGGGAGCCGCACUGGGUCCUG